ensembl:snoRNA
AGCACUAUUUUUAAACCUGUUGGUGGAAUUUCCUGGCCACCAUGGGUUACGCUGUAGUGCAAAAGAAUCUCCUGGCUCUUUGGAGCGUAGCUGGCUUUCUUCUGUUCAGCUGAUGCUACUCUGAAGCUAAGGAACAGAG